rnacentral:rRNA from 1 species
GAUGAACGCGGGCGGCGUGCCUAAUACAUGCAAGUCGAGCGAACGGACGAGAAGCUUGCUUCUCUGAUGUUAGCGGCGGACGGGUGAGUAACACGUGGAUAACCUACCUAUAAGACUGGGAUAACUUCGGGAAACCGUAGCUAAUACCGGAUAAUAUUUUGAACCGCAUGGUUCAAAAGUGAAAGACGGUCUUGCUGUCACUUAUAGAUGGAUCCGCGCUGCAUUAGCUAGUUGGUAAGGUAACGGCUUACCAAGGCAACGAUGCAUAGCCGACCUGAGAGGGUGAUCGGCCACACUGGAACUGAGACACGGUCCAGACUCCUACGGGAGGCAGCAGUAGGGAAUCUUCCGCAAUGGGCGAAAGCCUGACGGAGCAACGCCGCGUGAGUGAUGAAGGUCUUCGGAUCGUAAAACUCUGUUAUUAGGGAAGAACAUAUGUGUAAGUAACUGUGCACAUCUUGACGGUACCUAAUCAGAAAGCCACGGCUAACUACGUG